ACCUACUUCUUCUCUUAUCUUUCCUCUCUCCCGAAACCGAGUUUUAUAUAUCCUUAAUCUGAAGGCGGGGCAAGGCCGCUAGGGUUUCAUUCUCCAAUCUUCUUCUCACAUCCUUCUUCUAGGGUUUCAAUUGUGUUCUAUUGUGGAGGAUCGAUUAACUUGCAGGACGAAAUUGCAAGAAAACCAAAAGGACUGCACCAGCAACCAAUAUCUACUUAAACUUCUUGUGAAGGUAUUAGAUUUUGGGAAUUAAAACACAACGAUAAUAACUACCAUUUGGAGAGAGCAAUGGAGACACAGUUUUAAAGCAACAAUCUCUGGGUAGUUCACUUAAUAGAAGGCUCUAUGAUAUUCAUUAAGUUCACGUCAUCUGACCAAGAUGAGAAGCAGAAACUUGUUGGUUCAUAUCAUAUCGACUUCCGCUGAUAACAAUCUGUAAGUAACAUUUGGUGGUGACUGAGAUGGGUGUCGUGUUAUUUAUCUUGCUUGGUAUAUUUUUCUUGCUAGUGGCUUAAUUGAUAUUGGGACCUUGUGCUAGCUGGAUAUCGCGUAGUUUAGGACUAGAUUUAUUAUCUUACUUGUACAUUGAUCGAGUUAUGUAUUGUUAAGUUUCCUUAACACCAUAACCUGUAAGUUGGCACUAAAGUAAGCAUAUUGUGGUGAUGCAAUGUGUCUUCUAAUUUGCUCCUGCGAAUUUAGAGCCACUAAAACUAUUUGUUACCGUUCAUUAGGUGCCACUUUCAAUCUUGAAGUAUAGAUGAUGGAGUUUGCGUACUUGUACCAACUGAUUGUUUAAAUCCUUGUUGUUACAUUUCAUUGAUCAGGACCGCAAGAACUUAUCGAUCCAUGCUUAGUUUUGUAAGCCUCAGUCUAGGUAGACUGUCAUCCUUGUUUUUUGUGUAAAUUAGCAUGGUUCGCAUAAACUUUGGAGGUCACAGGUUGGUAAAAGAGUUUAGGUUUCAAUAUUUGAUCUUGUUCCUGUAAAGCCGGUGAUCAGGUGAGGUACGAUUAAUUAGUUCACUUGCUCUUGUUCCUAAUUUGAACUUGGGUUUUGUGCUGAUUUGCAUUCUUAAGUUGAAUUUUUAGAACCAAUUUUCCAGGUCCUUGUAGAUGGAGUUUUGAUGUCUGACCAAAGCUCUUGCCAUUGAUGGAUUCUGGUCGGAAUAAAGUGCGGAAAAUAGUAUGACAGUGUUGGCCGAGUUCAACAUCUUCAAUACUUGUAAUUCAUUCCUUUCUCUUUUUAGUUUUUCUUAAAGAUUUCUUCCAGUUAUUAAUAUUUUCUGAGUUCUAUAAGUUAGUAGUAGUAAAUGACAUAAAUAUGCAUUUUCUUUAGUUCCCUGAUUCUUUAUUUUUGUUCGUUGUUUGAACAGUAACAAGGUGAGUGAAUUUUUUCCAAUAGAUCUUAUUCUUUGCAGAGGUUUUCGAGUUUUCUCUCCACCAACAUCAAACCAUAAAUGAUUGAGCAGAAGAUAUGAAUUGAUUAUGUGCAAGAUGCUUUGUUUAAAUAAUGUUGUGUAAAGCUUACUGUUUAACGUUUUUCUUGCUGUUUUUGUUUUUGGAUGUUAGAACA